rnacentral:misc_RNA from 1 species
CGGAAUACUUGGGUUGAUAGGAGUCACCGGAUUAACUGGCACCGGAACUGUAGGAGCCGGCUCAACCACUGGAGUACUAGGAGGGGUACCAUAGUAUCCUCCACUCCUGUCUGAGGGUGCAGAUGGUGUAGUAUACGAGGGUGAUGAUGGUGUAGUUGUCCCGUUGCUCCCACUGCCCCCGUCUGAGGGUGCUGAUGGUGUCCCGUAUCCGGGUAACGAUGGUGCUGAUGGACUCCCGUAGUAACCUCCACUGCCCCCGUCUGAGGGUGCUGAUGGUGUCCCGUAUCCGGGUAACGAUGGUGCUGAUGGACUCCCGUAGUAACCU